rnacentral:rRNA from 1 species
AGCGGCGGAUGGGUGAGUAACACGUGGGGAACCUGCCCCUAAGUCUGGGAUACCAUUUGGAAACAGGUGCUAAUACCGGAUAAUAAAGCAGAUCGCAUGAUCAGCUUUUGAAAGGCGGCGUAAGCUGUCGCUAAGGGAUGGCCCCGCGGUGCAUUAGCUAGUUGGUAAGGUAACGGCUUACCAAGGCGACGAUGCAUAGCCGAGUUGAGAGACUGAUCGGCCACAUUGGGACUGAGACACGGCCCAAACUCCUACGGGAGGCAGCAGUAGGGAAUCUUCCACAAUGGACGCAAGUCUGAUGGAGCAACGCCGCGUGAGUGAAGAAGGUUUUCGGAUCGUAAAGCUCUGUUGUUGGUGAAGAAGGAUAGAGGUAGUAACUGGCCUUUAUUUGACGGUAAUCAACCAGAAAGUCACGGCUAACUACGUGCCAGCAGCCGCGGUAAUACGUAGGUGGCAAGCGUUGUCCGGAUUUAUUGGGCGUAAAGCGAGCGCAGGCGGAAAAAUAAGUCUAAUGUGAAAGCCCUCGGCUUAACCGAGGAACUGCAUCGGAAACUGUUUUUCUUGAGUGCAGAAGAGGAGAGUGGAACUCCAUGUGUAGCGGUGGAAUGCGUAGAUAUAUGGAAGAACACCAGUGGCGAAGGCGGCUCUCUGGUCUGCAACUGACGCUGAGGCUCGAAAGCAUGGGUAGCGAACAGGAUUAGAUACCCUGGUAGUCCGUGCCAUAAACGAUGAGUGCUAAGUGU